UACGUAGGGUGCAAGCGUUGUCCGGAAUUACUGGGCGUAAAGAGCUCGUAGGUGGUUUGUCGCGUUGUUCGUGAAAACUCACAGCUCAACUGUGGGCGUGCGGGCGAUACGGGCAGACUAGAGUACUGCAGGGGAGACUGGAAUUCCUGGUGUAGCGGUGGAAUGCGCAGAUAUCAGGAGGAACACCAAUGGCGAAGGCAGCACUCUGGGCAUUAACUGACGCUGAGGAGCGAAAGCAUGGGGAGCGAACAGG
rnacentral:rRNA from 1 species